CCCCUCGGUCCUCAGUGCCCAAGCGUAGAAGCCGUGGAGCCGCAUGGCCCUGGUGACUGGGCUGCGUGACCCCUCUGUGGCCCCCUCCUGACCUGAGAAAGUGGUGCAAACAUCCACCGCGUCAUCUGGUCGUUAGGAGCACAGAGCCUGACCCACGAUAGACACCACGGGCAUAAUAAAUGCCGCUUUCUGUUUGCUUCAGCAGGAUGUGGACAAAACCUUUAAAUUUGUUUUUAUGCAUUCAAUGCGUCCAGCUGUUACGACUCUGAAGCAAGUGUGAUUUUCAGUCUUUUGUAGUUGUUAUUCAGGGCAGUCCUGUUGUGCUGGGCUUGACUGAAGCGGCCAACACGGUCAUGUGUGUGUCUCCAGGCAGCAACCUGCAGUGAGCCCAAGAUCAUGGUCCAGGGCUCCUCCUCCCGGCAGGGAGGAACUGUCCUCAGCAUCCUCUGAGCCCCAGGUGUGCAGGGGGCAGGGUCAGGUAGAGAGAGGGGAGGAAGUUAGCUGAGGAACAAUGGCUAUUGGUCAGAUUUCCCUACCCCAACCCUGACACAAGCGCCUCGCACAUCAUUGGCUGAGAUCAGUCUCUCCAUUUUCCUAAUCGAUUCUUCAUGCAAAGCCACAUUUUGGAGAAAAGGAAUGGUUAGAAUCAUGGCAGGAUUGCUGAGGCAGUGAAUUGAAGAGGCUGCGUAGUGCUUGCAACCAGUUACCAUAUUUCCCUGGAGGAAUCACCAGCAACCGACUCUCCCAGGACUUACGAGGUGCUUCCCUUAUCACCAGCCGUCUCAGCACAAGUAGUAAGAGAUAAGAAGGCAGCUGAGGUACACGCUUUGCCUCGUGGGUGUGAACCAAGUAGCGGGCACAGAGAGCCGCCACUGAGGGACGUCGGAUGAAGUGAUGGGAUUCGUCACCUGUCAUCAUUGCAUCAGCUCUUUACGUAGCCAUGUGUGGGCUAUACCCAGCAGUGCACUCUGUAUUCUGUGCAGUUAAUUACAUUUAACGUACCAUGUAGUGGCAGGCACAGUGUGCAUUUUGGGUUACAAGCCAUUGCUUGUUGGACUUCUCUGCCAGCCUCUUUACUCAAUUCUCACCGUCCCGGAGCAGAGAACUUCAUUAGAGAAGUAGUGAGACUUUUUCAGUUUCAAAAAUUUAGGUCAGUGCCAGAUCUUCAGCAUCCUUUGUUUGAAGGCAACAGAAACAGGCUCAGCUGAUUGGUGUCAGUUAUUGGAAGCUCAUGGAAUUGAAGAAAAAAAGCGUGGAAAGUCAAAUAACGUGGAGUCUUCCGUUUCAACUGAAGGAGGGCCAGGGACAAAGCAGGUGAUCUUAGAUGCCCCAGGGACCCAGAAGCCAGGCUCAAAGGCUCAGUCCCCACCCUCCUGAACACAGGCACUCUCAAUCAGCUGGCUGAGUUCCUUGUUUGAAGACACUGGAAGACGGAUUCACUGCAGAGGCCCCUGACAGUGACUGAUUGUCCACUGAGAGGCAGUUGUAUAAGAUCAAUGUCAUUCACAAGAGAAGCAAGGAGAAACACACAGCUUUCUAGACACUGGACCGUUUAGUUGUUACAAGCAUACGUACAUUUUAUAAAACAGUAAUUAUAUUGUAGAUAUGGUUUUUAUCCUCAUAGUUAUUUUUGUACAAUUAUGAAAUGCAAGGUUAUUGCUGAGAGAUUCAUCCAUGCUACAGCCAUUGCAAAUUACAUCUUAUCACUAAGCAG
rnacentral:lncRNA from 1 species